rnacentral:misc_RNA from 1 species
CCCCGACUCCUCGUGCGGCCGACUACCGACGCCGUGUCCCGUCAUUCGUGUGGUUUACACCGCUGUUGCCUUUUGAAGUGCUUGCGUGCCGGUACCCGACCUACGGGAAUUGGUGUGUUUCGUACACAGUUGCCUCGCGGUGGACGCCUUUGGGUGUUCCGCUGCGGCCAAGUGGCUCUUGCAGCGUUGCCUCGUGGUGCUGGCACGUUUACGUGUCCGGUGCUAUCAGGGCAGCCUUGCUCGUGCUGUUGGUUUCAGAUGCUGCUCACGAUAAAGGCUCACGAUAAAGGCUUACGGCCAUUUUCUGUUGGCAUAUUCCGGACCCAAUAAAGCUCCCUAACCCCAAAAAAAAGGCCGAAAAACAAUUUGUGCCUCUUCCCUCUCCCAGGUAAGAGAAAGAAUACGCAACAUGCAGGCCCAAUGAAGUAAGAAAUAAGGGAUCUUUGUCGGUUUCGGAAGUUGCUGGCUCAAACGGCUCUUGUCCCUUAUUGUUGCCUAAGACCCGACCCUUCGRSSYWKSGRAGMUUGGCCCGCUCAAUUGCGACAACCGGCACGGCUGUUGUCUGCCUUCACGGGCRGAYGGCUGCCGACRCUGGACGUCAAAGAGGACAUGCU